GGGUGAUUAGCUCAGUGGUAGAGCGCUUCGUUCACAUCGAAGAUGUCAGAGGUUCAAAUCCUCUAUCACCCACCA
rnacentral:tRNA from 8 species